GAGUCUGGUCUUCGAGCUUUAAUGCGAG
rnacentral:sRNA from 1 species